CCUACGGGUGGCAGCAGUGGGGAAUAUUGCACAAUGGGGGAAACCCUGAUGCAGCGACGCCGCGUGAGUGAAGAAGUAUUUCGGUAUGUAAAGCUCUAUCAGCAGGGAAGAAAUAGCGACCUUUGGGUCGCCAGACGGUACCUGAUUAAGAAGCCCCGGCUAACUACGUGCCAGCAGCCGCGGUAAUAAGUAGGGGGCAAGCGUUAUCCGGAUUUAAUGGGUGUAAAGGGGGGGGAGACGGCAGCGUAAGUCUGAAGGGAAAUGCCGGGGCUUAACCCCGGAACUGCUUUGGAAACUGUGCAGCUAGAGUGCGGGAGAGGUAAGUGGAAUUCCUGGUGUAGCGGUGAAAUGCGUAGAUAUUAGGAGGAACACCGGUGGCGAAGGCGGCUUACUGGAGUGUAACUGACGUUGAGGCUCGAAAGCGUGGGGAGCGAACAGGAUUAGAUACCCGAGUAGUC
rnacentral:rRNA from 1 species